GGCUACCUGGCGCAAUGGUAGCGCGUUUGGCUUCGAUUGCUAAGCGGCACCAAAAGGUUGCAGGUUCGAGUCCUGCGGUGGUCA
rfam:Termitomyces sp. J132 unplaced genomic scaffold scaffold85, whole genome shotgun sequence.